UACGAAGGGGGCUAGCGUUGCUCGGAAUGACUGGGCGUAAAGGGCGCGUAGGCGGAUUGUACAGUCAGGCGUGAAAUUCCCGGGCUCAACCUGGGGGCUGCGCUUGAGACGUGCGAUCUUGAGUGGGGAAGAGGGUCGUGGAAUUCCCAGUGUAGAGGUGAAAUUCGUAGAUAUUGGGAAGAACACCGGUGGCGAAGGCGGCGACCUGGUCCGUGACUGACGCUGAGGCGCGAAAGCGUGGGGAGCAAACAGG
rnacentral:rRNA from 1 species